CUGGGAACUCCCCCAGGAGAAGAUGAAGGAGGUUACUAGGCGUCUAAUUUAGCUCAGCAUUUUGCUACCAGAGCCUUCACUAUUAUGACAGAACAGCAGGAGGAUGAGAGGCUGGAGCUGAGAGAGACGGAGGUGGUCCUUCGAAAGCAGGCAAGUCGAACCAAAGAAGAAAAAUAAUAAUCCUCAUGCACCAUCAACAAUUCUCACCAUUGAAAAUCGCUCCACAACAAUCUCCUCUUCAACCACAACAUCAUGUCCGACUCCCGCAGAUGACGUCACUUCCGGUCCCCUGCCGACGACGUCACUUCCGGUGCAUAUAGAUGACAUCAUUUCUGGUCCCUCGCCGAUGACGCCACUUCUGUCCAGCCUGGAUGACGUUAUUUCCGAUUAUCUCUUAACUUCCUGCCAAAUCAUUUCCUGUAGCUAUUUUCUUACUGUAUAAAAACAAGCUUCUCACAUCAAUGUAUGUCGAAUGUCUGAUUUUCAAAUCAAUUUUGACCAGCUAUUCCACCCUAGCAAUAUACG